GACGAACGCUGGCGGCGUGCUUAACACAUGCAAGUCGAACGAAGUGGCGAACGGGUGAGUAACGCGUAAUCAACCUGCCCUUCAGAGGGGGACAACAGUUGGAAACGACUGCUAAUACCGCAUACUGAAGGAGGGGAUUGCGUCUGAUUAGCUAGUUGGAGGGGUAAUGGCCCACCAAGGCGAUGAUCAGUAGCCGGUCUGAGAGGGAGAACGGCGACAUUGCGACUGAGACACGGCACAGACUACUACGGGAGGCAGCAGUGGGGAAUCUUCCGCAAUGGACGAAAGUCUGACGGAGCAACGCUGCGUGAGUGAUGACGGCCUUCGGGUUGGAAAGCUCUGUUAAUCGGGACGCGGUACCGGAAUAGAAAGCCAGGGGUAACUACGUGCCAGAAGACGCGGUAAUUC
rnacentral:rRNA from 1 species